AACCAGUCUCCUAUAAAUAGUUUUCAAUGUUUUAAAAUUACAAACCAUAUUACAAUCAAUAACCUUGCACAUGCAACAUUUCAGAUGUGUGAACGUAUACCUAUAGAUGUCCAGAAGGAUUGCUAGGUUAAGGAAUAAAUGCACUUGUAAGAGUAAAUAGUAUAGAUGGUAUAUAAGUGAAAACAAGACUUUUUAAUAUAUAUUUUUAUAUGGUUUAGUUUUUGUUGACAUAAAAAAUACAAUAGACAAUAAAAAUAAAUAAAGAUUGCCAAAUCACCUUAUACCGUUGUUCACUCACAGUAAGAAAAAGCUCAUUCCUCAGACUCACCAAAGAGUACAUUGUCCAGCAUCUGAAGUUUUGCCUAUCUAUAGGUAAGACAGGUAGUCAGUGUACUUCCAAUUGGCAUUUUUCUUAUUAUGAAUGUUGAUCAUCUUUUUACGUGUUAAAAGACAUGCAUUUCCUUGUCUAUAUACAAUUUACUCAUGUCCUUUGUCCAAUUUUUCUCUUAAGAGUACUAUUGUUUUCUUGAUUUCUAAGUGCUCUUUCCCUAGUAGAGCAAUUCACCCUUUGUCUAUAUGAAUUGCAAACAUUUUUUCUUGGGGACCAUCUGUAUAUAUAAGAGGAAAUUUAUCAUGGGAAUUGGCUCACGCAAUUUGGAGGCUGAGAAGUUCCACAAUCUGCUGUCUGUAAGCUGCAGGAACUUUUCCAGCUUGCUGCUGAAUCAGACCUUGGAGUUGCAAAGUUUAUAACAGAACCUGCUGAAGGACAGUAUCUCUCCUAGAGCCAGCAAUUUUAAACCAAUGUUUGAACAAGAAAAUUAACCAGGGUUUCAGGACAUGUACAUUCACAAAGGCAACAACUACAAAACAAAUGUCUGGCUCUCCAGAAUGCUUCUCCUCUCUGGGCUCUGGUCUCUUCAUCUAUAAAAGGAGGGCUUCACCAGGUUAAUCUACAUUCCCUUCUAAUGAGGCGCAGCAGCAUAGCACAUGCUCCGUAAUGACCUAUUGAUGAGGAGAGAGCUGAAUUUUAACUGUAGGAAGGAUCUCCAAUGGAAUUCAGUAGACUUGGGGUGGAGGUCCAAGAAUUUUCAUUUCUAACAAGUUCCCAGGUAUGUUGAUGCUGCUGGUACAAGGACAUGUUGCCUUGAGGAGGUCAUGUGCUUCUGACUGGCUCCCAACAAUCCCCACCUCCUAGUAUUUAUCCCCUCUGUAUCCCAUCCCGUUGAGUGUGCAUGGGACCUAGUGACUUGAUUCUAACAAAUGGAAUAGAGCGAAGUAAGGGGUUGUUACUUCCAUGGUUAAGUCUGUAGUCUGUGACUUCUUUCUUGCUAGCGUUCUCCUUCUCUCUCUCUCUCUUUCUGUCACUGGUACUGUUCCUUGCCCUCUCACUUGCUCAGUCUAAUGAGGCAAGCUGCCAUGGUAUGAGAUGGUCUAUGGAGAAGGGCACAUAGUAAGGAAGUGUGGAGGUCUCCAGCCAAAAGCUCAUGGGGGCUCCCUGAGGAGGAGAACUCUCAGUCCAACAAUUCAAGAGGGAAGAAAUCUUUACAAUAAUCAUGGACAUGAGCUUGGAAGUGAGUCUUUCCCAGUCCAGCCUCAAGAUGAGACUGCAGCAUUGUGAGAGCCAGAGGACCCAGCUAGGCUGUGCCUGGACCCACAGAAACUGCAAGACAGUCGAUGCAUGUUGUUUUAAGACGCUGAAUCGUGGAAGAUAAUUUGUUACACAGCAAUGGUUAACUAACACAUGCGUGUAAGAGUUUGACACAACAUCUACAAUGUAGAAGGUGCUUGGUAAAUUUAAAUAUGACUUUUAGUAGUGACACCAAAAAAUUCUGCUACUGGUUAUAAGGUCUUGUACUGUACCAGAGAAAUUUGAUAAGCUAGGCAGCCUAUGCAUGGCCUUCACAAGCAGCUAGGAUUAAAUUAGACUAACUAGAGUAGCAUCACAGUUUUUUGAGCUGUAAGCUCAUUCCUCUGCAGUGGAGUCAGCCUCCUUAAUCCAGGCUUGGUUUUCAUCCCAUCCCAUCAUGUCCCCCUCCCAACCAGUUCCCAAUUUGUUCACACUGUGAAGACACAAACUGGACCCUUUUCUGAGACAAAGAGCCAACUUAGAGGAUGAGAGCAGCAACAGGCCUGAGAAUAAGUCCUGUUUUUUUCCCCUUUUUAUUUUUCAGAACAUGGUUGUCCUCUGAGAUUAUGUUAGUAAGAAGAAUCCAUGCAUAAUGAAGUUAAACAUCUGGGAUUGUGAAACCUAAUCAAUUGUGAAAUCUAAUCAAUCACAAUGUGCCUCGUCUGGGAAACAAAUGUAUUAACCAAAGUGGGGUGGUCUGUGCAUGGUCUAGAGGAAGGGGAUGCCACGGAGCAGUAAUUUGUCAGUGUUUUUCCGGCAUUGUCCAAAGCAAGGGGUCCCGACUGGCUGACAGAAACAUCCGCUCUGCUUGACAGAUGGGUCUAGGAGGAGCAGGGAGCACCAGACAAUCAUAACUCACUGACACAAGCCAUUAACAUCAUCCUGUGGCUCUCUGGCACCGAGUCCUUGCUUUCCACGCAAGCUUCAGAUGAGGCUGAUCCUUUUCCCAUGUACAUUGACCUCCCACCAAUGGACGUGAGACUCUGGUUUUCUUGGAAGUAAUAGUUCUCUCUGAAACUAAUAAACUGAUUGAUAUUCUGGCUUAUUCAUCAGUCACUUGAGAGUUUGUUCAACCUGGGUCAGUCUCUGGACUGUAGGGUACUGACCGUAUAGA
rnacentral:lncRNA from 1 species